rnacentral:rRNA from 1 species
UACGUAGGUCCCGAGCGUUGUCCGGAUUUAUUGGGCGUAAAGCGAGCGCAGGUGGUUUAUUAAGUCUGAUGUGAAAGGCAGUGGCUCAGCCAUUGUAUGCAUUGGAAACUGGUAGACUUGAGUGCAGGAGAGGAGAGUGGAAUUCCAUGUGUAGCGGUGAAAUGCGUAGAUAUAUGGAGGAACACCGGUGGCGAAGGCGAUUCUCUGGACUGUAACUGACGCUGAGGCUCGAAAGCGUGGGGAGCAAACAGG